rnacentral:tRNA from 2 species
GCGCCCGUAGCUCAAUGGAUAGAGUACCGGUCUUCGGAACCGUGGAUGUAAGUUCGAUUCUUACCGGGCGCACAA